rnacentral:rRNA from 1 species
AAAUGAAUUGACGGGGGCCCGCACAAGCAGCGGAGCAUGUUGUUUAAUUCGAAGCAACGCGAAGAACCUUACCAGGUCUUGACAUUGAUGUAAACCUGUAGAGAUACGGGGUGCCUUCGGGCAACAGAAAACAGGUGGUGCAUGGUUGUCGUCAGCUCGUGUCGUGAGAUGUUGGGUUAAGUCCCGCAACGAGCGCAACCCCUAUUAUCAGUUACUAACGGAUAAUGCCGAGGACUCUGAUGAGACUGCCGGGGACAACUCGGAGGAAGGUGGGGACGAUGUCAAAUCAUCAUGCCCCUUAUGACCUGGGCUACAAACGUGCUACAAUGGUGGCGACAAAGAGGAGCAAACCCGUGAGGGCAAGCGGAUCUCAGAAAGGCCAUCCCAGUUCGGAUUGUGGGCUGCAACCCGCCCACAUGAAGUUGGAGUUGCUAGUAAUCGCGAAUCAUCAUGUCGCGGUGAAUACGUUCCCGGGCCUUGUACACACCGCCCGU